rnacentral:piRNA from 1 species
UCUUGAAUCUCAAACCAGGCUGGCC